CAGCCGCCACGGGAAUACGGAGGGUGCAAGCGUUAAUCGGAAUUACUGGGCGUAAAGCGUGCGUAGGCGGUUCGUUAAGUCUGUUGUGAAAGCCCCGGGCUCAACCUGGGAAUGGCAAUGGAUACUGGCGAGCUAGAGUGUGUCAGAGGAUGGUGGAAUUCCCGGUGUAGCGGUGAAAUGCGUAGAGAUCGGGAGGAACAUCAGUGGCGAAGGCGGCCAUCUGGGACAACACUGACGCUGAGGCACGAAAGCGUGGGGAGCAAACAGGAUUAGAUACCCCCGUAGUCCCUGUCUCUUAUAC
rnacentral:rRNA from 1 species